rnacentral:rRNA from 1 species
GAUGAACGCUAGCGGCAGGCCUAAUACAUGCAAGUCGAACGGGAUCCAGAUCAAAGCUUGCUUUGGUCUGGUGAGAGUGGCGCACGGGUGCGUAACGCGUGAGCAACCUACCCUUGUCAGGGGGAUAGCCCGGCGAAAGUCGGAUUAAUACCGCAUGACAUCAUUGAGAGGCAUCUUUCGAUGAUCAAAGAUUUAUCGGACAAGGAUGGGCUCGCGUGACAUUAGCUAGUUGGUAAGGUAACGGCUUACCAAGGCUGCGAUGUCUAGGGGCUCUGAGAGGAGAAUCCCCGACACUGGUACUGAGACACGGACCAGACUCCUACGGGAGGCAGCAGUAAGGAAUAUUGGUCAAUGGACGGAAGUCUGAACCAGCCAUGCCGCGUGCAGGAGGACGGCCCUAUGGGUUGUAAACUGCUUUUAUACGGGAACAAACGUCGGUACGUGUACCGGUCUGAGUGUACCGUAAGAAUAAGGAUCGGCUAACUCCGUG